GACAGAGGGUGCGAACGUUGCUCGGAAUGACUGGGCGUAAAGCGCGUGCAGGCGGCUCUGCAAGUCCGAUGUGAAAGCCCAGGGCUCAACCCUGGAAGUGCAUUGGAAACUACGGAGCUCGAGUCCUGGAGAGGAGAGCGGAAUUCCCGGUGUAGAGGUGAAAUUCGUAGAUAUCGGGAGGAACACCAGUGGCGAAGGCGGCUCUCUGGACAGGUACUGACGCUGAGACGCGAAAGCGUGGGUAGCAAACAGGA
rnacentral:rRNA from 1 species